rnacentral:tRNA from 3 species
GCCGGCGUGGCUCAGGGGUAGAGCAGCUGAUUCGUAAUCAGCGGGUCGUAGGUUCGAUUCCUAUCGCCGGCUCCA